GCUUACGGCCACACUACCUUGAGAACGCCCGAUCUCGUCUGAUCUCGGAAGCUAAGCAGGGUCGGGCCUGGUUAGUACUUGGAUGGGAGACCGCCUGGGAAUACCAGGUGCUGUACGCC
rnacentral:rRNA from 1 species